AAAGAAGAGCCUUGAAUAUAUCUCGUCUAGAUGGGCAGCAAUCACAUGGAGCUGAGUGACAGAUGACUUUUCCACUCCCUCCAGCCAACUCAUCAACUGUUGGGCAAGACAUUGGUGCCCUGGGCUGCUUCUGUGUAACUCAUCCUUCUGCUUUCUAACCUCCUUUGCUGAUCCUCCAACCUCACCUUGCACCCUCCAGAGACAGAAUGAAUCCCAAUACAGGAACAAGGUAAAGCUGCAGUUGCUUCACUGGACAAAGAACGUGGCAAGGCCAUGGGAACAUCGCUGGACCGGCACCGGACAAGGGGGGAGUUCUGAUGUUGAGUCUUGGCCAAGUGAAGGACAAAGAGAGGAAGCUGCUCCU